AGGCCUUAAGUUGCUUACCUGUUGUUACUUGGUGUCGUGAUCCCACAUUGAUUACUAAGGAGACAGGAAUCUAUGUUUGGUUGAUGAGAUGUUGCCGCUAGACCAAAGCGUGAUUAACAGUGUUGUUGGCCUCCUUCUUAUUGGGCUUGUGAUCACACUUGAGAGGAUCGUUCUAUGUCCCUGGCUGGAUUGGUCUAGCGGUCGUAUGACAGAC